rnacentral:lncRNA from 1 species
UACACAUAAAAGUUUUUAAUGUGACCCAGCAUUGAGUUACAUACAUAAAAUAUAUUUCCAUUCUCUCUAAUGGUUCCUACUGUAAUUCAAUUUGGCUUUUUUCUUAUGUAAAAUUUCUAUCUUCUUCAGUUAGCCUCAUCUUAUUCACAUUAUUAAAAUCUUUUAAAUUUUAAAUUUUGAGCUGAUAAAAGACAAAGUGAAAGGGAGUUUUCUUCUUGUUCUUUCUAUCGUCGUUUAAAAUACAGAGAAUUAAGACAAUUGCUAUUCAAAUGAAAGCAGUAACAACACGGAGUCCAUGUAAACAAAGCUGAUGUACCGGAAGUAGAGUAUGUGUACCACACCACAGAGAGCACCACAGGGCCCUGGAGACUAAGAAUGGUUUGUUUGACUUUCUGGCCACACUCCUGGGAGAUCUUGUGCAAUCACAGCAACCAUUCCCAUAGCCAGAGUUCAGAUCAGAAGAGAAGCUAAGUUCACCCUUAUGUCCUCCCAGCACAUCCUUACUCUGGGAUUCACCCUCAACCAAGGAAGAACCCACACCAGGAUGUCUGCCGCUCUUCUUCCAAAGGCCCAGCCUGCACCGGCUAUUGGAGGGGACCUCGUGCCUCCUACUGCCGCCUCGAGAAUGUGUUUACAAUCUGAUCAUCAACAGACACAGAGUCUCCAAAACAAGGACAAUGACACAAGCACCACUUGUCUCUGUACAUUCAUAUAAAUAACAUGUGUGUCUGACAAGAAGAAAACAUCAAGCUGAUUCCACUGGCAUGCAGAACUAUUCCUGUUGCCAGUCCCCUUGUCUCCUGCAAUAGCCACUGAUGAUCUAAUUAUGUCUUCCCCCUGUGUGUUGGGGUGUCCUAAAAGGCUUCCCAACAAGUAAGCAACUGACAAGAAAGCCAUGUCCUUCCCAUUUUUGUCAGAUUUCUCCCAGUCUUACCAACGGCCCCUGUAGCAAGAAGGAGGGCUUUUCUCACACGUGUUCCAUGCUCGUGUUCCUGCCCUAGACAGUCAGAUGAACAAGGCAUGCCGGUCCCUUAUGGGGCUGACAGAUGGCAGAGAGGGUCACUACACUCAUGUGUUCUCACACACUGUGGACAUCCUGUUUAUCUGGCU